GGGAUUCCUAUUUCCUUCUUCUUCUUCCUCAAGAAUACAGCUCUAGGAGCAUCUCUGUAAUCGGUGUUAUCCCGGAAAAUCCAUACAAGCAGGAGUAGGAGCCUUACCUCUGCAAGAGGGCUCCGAACCUGGGUAGAUCCGCGUGUCCGAGCGUGUUUUCGUGCGUGUUCUUCACGUUUCUUCCUCCUCCAGAUCCAUCAGCGUCCAUCAGCCCCAACUCAAGCCAUCCUAUGGCAUUUGCC
rnacentral:lncRNA from 1 species